rnacentral:tRNA from 1 species
GGGGUUGUAGCUCAGUGGUAGAGCACUUUCCAAGCAUGUGUGGGCCCCUGGGUUCUAUUCCCAGCACCACA